AUAUAAAUCAACAAAGCCGUUAUCCUCGUAAUAGAUAUUGAUAUAAU
rnacentral:guide_RNA from 1 species